CGCAAGCCUGACGGAGCCAGACCGCGUGAGGGAAGAAAGCCUUUGGGUUGUAAACCUCUUUUCUCAGGGAAGAAGCUCUGACGGUACCUGAGGAAUCAGCCUCGGCUAACUCCGUGCCAGCAGCCGCGGUAAUACGGAGGAGGCAAGCGUUAUCCGGAAUUAUUGGGCGUAAAGCGUCCGCAGGUGGCGAUUCAAGUCUGCUGUCAAAGCACGGGGCUUAACUCCGUUAAGGCAGUGGAAACUGAAUGGCUAGAGUGCCGUAGGGGUAGAGGGAAUUCCCGGUGUAGCGGUGAAAUGCGUGGAGAUCGGGAAGAACAUCGGUGGCGAAAGCGCUCUACUGGGCCGUAACUGACGCUGAGGGACGAAAGCUAGGGGAGCG
rnacentral:rRNA from 1 species